CUGGUGAGUAACGCGUGGGUGACCUACCUUGAGGAUGGGGAUAGUCGCUAGAAAUAGCGGGUAAUACCGAAUAAUGUUGCCGGACUAUGGUUUGGUAAAGAAAGGGGCUUUGGCCCCGCCUUUAGAUGGGCCCGCGUCCCAUUAGCUAGUUGGUGAGGUAAAGGCCUACCAAGGCGAUGAUGGGUAGCCGGCCUGAGAGGGUGAACGGCCACACUGGGACUGAGAUACGGCCCAGACUCCUACGGGAGGCAGCAGCUAAGAAUAUUCCACAAUGGACGAAAGUCUGAUGGAGCGACGCCGCGUGGAUGACGAAGGCCGAAAGGUUGUAAAAUCCUUUUGCGGAUGAAGAAUAAGCGGUGGAGGGAAUGCCAUCGUGAUGACGUUAGUCCGCGAAUAAGCCCCGGCUAAUUACGUGCCAGCAGCCGCGGUAACACGUAAGGGGCAAGCGUUGUUCGGAAUUAUUGGGCGUAAAGGGCGCGUAGACGGCCGCGUAAGUCUGAUGUGAAAACCCCGGGCUCAACCCGGGAACUGCAUUGGAAACUGUGCGGCUUGAGUCACGGAGGGGAAAUCGGAAUUCCUGGUGUAGGGGUGAAAUCUGUAGAUAUCAGGAAGAACACCGGUGGCGAAGGCGGAUUUCCAGCCGAUGACUGACGCUGAGGCGCGAAAGUGCGGGGAGCAAACAGGAUUAGAUACCCUGGUAGUCCGCACUAUAAACGAUGCACACUAGGUGUCGGGACGAGCGUCUCGGCGCCGGAGCGAACGCGAUAAGUGUGCCGCCUGGGGAGUAUGCCCGCAAGGGUGAAACUCAAAGGAAUUGACGGA
rnacentral:rRNA from 1 species